AGGGUCCUACGGGACGCAGCAGUGGGGAAUAUUGCGCAAUGGGGGGAACCCUGACGCAGCAACGCCGCGUGCGGGAUGAAGGCCUUCGGGUUGUAAACCGCUUUCAGCAGGGAAGAGACAGACGGUACCUGCAGAAGAAGCCCCGGCUAACUACGUGCCAGCAGCCGCGGUAAUACGUAGGGGGCGAGCGUUAUCCGGAUUCAUUGGGCGUAAAGCGCGCGCAGGCGGACCGUUAAGCGGGACCUCUAAUCCUGGGGCUCAACCUCAGCCCGGGUCCCGACCUGGCGGUCUCGAGUG
rnacentral:rRNA from 1 species